CCCUAACACGAGAAUAUCGCUCAACAUUUGGUCUCUAUUGAGACUAUCAAAUGCUCGUCUCUCUCUCUCUCUCUCUCUCUCUACAAAAUCCUCAGCUGAAUUUUUCAUGUUAGCCCGUAUAUUUUGCCAGGCCUUACUGACGUCUACUCCCCUAUCCUAUGCACUCUCUUCAGAAUUUUCGCCGAUUAAAAAUUAUUCAAAAUUUUUAAGUGAUGCUCUUGCUUAAUUUCUACAUCGCUCAGUCUUUGGACGCUGAAAUUCUCAAUUCUGUAUAUUUGCCCCGCCUCUUUUCUGACCUAGAGUCUUGACUCUGUCACUAAAUAAUAGAGUCACAGUCUUCUACCCUAUAAGAUCGCACGUCUAGGAUGUUUCUUUCUCUGCUCCUAUCGAUAAGAACGAGAUCCAUGUGGUUAUGGGUCAUGCCAUGUGCUUUUAAAUAUCAACAUGUGCUCCUGACGAUCAGAUUUUUCAAUGUGGCAAAAUUCACAAACCUCAACCCAUUUUCACUACUAAAUUCAUGUAGACUCUCACGCCCUAUAAUUGCUUUGCAAACAACCUCCUGAUGAAUUUUGGCACUAAAGUCUCCGAGCAGAAUUUUCAUGUGGAAUCCACUAAACUGAUCCAUAAAACUAUCCUUUACAUUAUCAUCCUCCUCUUCAGUUGGUGCAUGCACAUCUAAAUUAAUAAUCAAAUCACACCGUCGACCACGAAAUAUCAAGUGUGACACCCCAUCACUGACAGAUUCUACUCUUAGCUGCCCGCUGAAGAUAUCUUUUCACUGAUAGAAACACGUUCCCAAGCAGUGGUCUUUAUUCUCGUAUCCAUAGUGUAAUAAUAAUAAUAGCUAAUGCAUCCCACGCCAGUGUUCUAUAUAUGAUAUCAAAUUCCACGUUCCAAUUCUAAGGUCUUUUAAACAUCGUCUGUAUCGUAAAUUCGUACGAUCCGCCCCGAUCCGAAACUUUGCUGUUUCGUAACGUAACACAUAUUUAUGGUGAGCUGGAGGACGCCUUAUUGGCACGAUUCACAAAUUCUGUCCUGUACGUCGUAUAGUUCGCGAUUUAGUACGUCUGAAUAAUCAUAUCACCGCGGCUACGAGGCGACGCAGAGGAACGCGAGACCUUCGCUAACACGACGACUUUGCCCAUCUCUCAGAUGGGGAAUGACAAGAUCAUCUACCGCAUCCUUUACAAUCAUUCCACAAUACUUUAUACUAGCCAAAUGGCUAGAAUCUUAAUUACCUUAAUUAAAUCCAUUUCAUUGUACAAUGUCAUAUAUGAUUAUAAUAAAUAUUAUUCCGUUUA